CCCAAUCAAAAUGUCAGCACUUACCUGCUGCUCAACACUUCAGACACAUGGGCUGUCAUAUCAGUCAGUGACUGAUCAGGCGCAGAAAUCAGAUAGAGCUUUCUCUUGACAACCAGAUAUGAUCAGAGUACAAGUUACACAUCGGUCUCCGAAGCCUAACCAAUGCAUGCUCAAGUUAGCAGAAGGCAGCUUUACUGUUUAUGACAUACCUGCCAUCAUCUCUACAAAUCCUUGGGGAGAAUAGGCCAGUGAGAACAGCAAUAGGUGCAAAAAACAACCCCUCCUCCUUUUCUGUGUGUGAUUAAGUCCAAAAAUGCUAAACAGCCACUCUCAGGAGCAAAAGUUCUCUGCAUACUCACAGAAGUAGUAAAAAACACAAGGAUAAAGAAUGACCACCUUAAGGCUGAAUACCCACUACAAAGUCUAAAUCCAGCAGUGAAGAAAGGAGUCAUUCUUGAAGUAGGCCUCCACAGAAGUCUUCUGGCAUGCUCAUCUAGUGGGAAGAAGACAGUCAUCUUGUCAAGAUGCUGUUCGCUCAACGAGUCCACAGCCCCAAGGCAACACCGAGCAAAUGCUGGCGAGGAGGUCUGACACUGCACUAUUUCUAGCUCACACCAAUGACUUCGACACAAGCAACGUGGCCCAACAAAACAGGUCCAGCCAUUCCAGUACUAAGUUUAUCAGUAAUAAUGUCAAAGCUCCACAAAACUUUUCUUCCCGUCACAAGUGCAAAAAGCCUAUGCCGGUAUGACCUUAGAUUGUUUUUAGCUCAUGAGUUAAGUUUGCCCAGUGCUGUCAUCUUCUAAUACAGAGCAUGAGCCGGACAGCAGGAAAUGACUGCAGAAGCCACAGCUGUUGCAGAGCCCAGUCUUCAUCUUCCAGCCAUGAGAACUACUCUAUUUCCUUCUUUGAUCAACAUGUCCAAUGACUAAAAACGGAUUGUGGCCCAAACCUGCUAAUAAUAAAGAAAUUUCCACCAUUCCCAUCACUA